CACAGAAGGUUGACUACAACCUGCCAAUGCACAAGAUGACCAAAUACAGACCUGAGCAGAAUUCUGAAGAGUGACGAGAUCCACAAAGCACUUCGUGCCCCACAAAAGAAGAUGCAGCGCAGAGUCCUGAAGAAGAAUCCUCUUAAGAACUUGAGGGUCAUGAUGAAGCUGAACCCAUAUGCCAAGAUCGUUCCGCC